GAUCAUUCACAAUCACGUGGUUAAUGGCACGGAAAAUCCAUUACCCACCUUGUGUGCAAUGUCGGGGAGCGUGUGACUGNUUUUGUGACUCGUCAUGGACGCGUUAUGUGACGCGUUUUGUGACGUGUUUUGGCUUUCACACCUUUCUUAUCAUUUCAACUCGUGUUUAAUCAUAUCAGUCUACAAGUAUCGAGUAUUAACAACUCUUAAAUACAACUUUCAACAACGGAUCUCUUGGCUCUCCCAUCGAUGAAGAACGCAGCGAAAUGCGAUAAGUAAUGUGAAUUGCAGAAUUCAGUGAAUCAUCGAAUCUUUGAACGCACCUUGCACCCAUUGGUAUUCCGAUGGGUAUGCCUGUUUGAGUGUCAUUAAAUUCUCAACCUUUACCACUUUAUUGUGUUCUUAAGGCUUGGAUGUGAGGGUUAUUGCUGGCUUCCUUCAGUGAUGAUGGUCAGCUCCCUUGAAAUGCAUUAGUGGAAUCCUUUGUGGACCCUCACUGGGUGUGAUAUAUGAUCGCCUUUUGUAUGGGAAGCAAUCUAAUGGAAUCUGCUUAUAACCGUCCUUUAGUUUGGACAAUUUACUUUGACAAUUUGACCUCAAAAUCAGGUAGGACUACCCGCUGAACUUAAGCAUAUCAAUAAGCGGAGGAAAARAAACCUAACAAGGAUUCCCCUAGUAACUGCGAGUGAAGCGGGAAAAGCUCAAAUUUAAAAUCUGGCGGUUCUGCCGUCCGAGUUGUAAUUUAGAGAAGUGUUAUCCGCGUUGGACCGUGUACAAGUCUCUUGGAAUAGAGCGUCAUAGAGGGUGAGAAUCCCGUCUUUGACACGGACUGCCAGGGCAUUGUGAUACACUCUCGAAGAGUCGAGUUGUUUGGGAAUGCAGCUCAAAAUGGGUGGUAAAUUCCAUCUAAAGCUAAAUAUUGGGGAGAGACCGAUAGCGAACAAGUACCGUGAGGGAAAGAUGAAAAGAACUUUGGAAAGAGAGUUAAACAGUAUGUGAAAUUGCUGAAAGGGAAACGCUUGAAGUCAGUCGCGUUGUUCAGGACUCAGCCGUGCUUUUGUGCGGUGUACUUCCUGUUCAAUGGGUCAACAUCAAUUUUGGUCGGUGGAAAAGGGUGCGGGGAAUGUGGCUCUUUCGGGAGUGUUAUAGCCCUGUAUCGUAUACAUUGACUGGGAUUGAGGAACUCAGCUCGCCGCAAGGCCGCUCU
rnacentral:rRNA from 1 species